AGUUUUUUGCCCACACGUCGCGCGUAGCGUCUCUCCCCACUCCCUUCCGGUCUCGCAUCCCACAUUUUUUCCACAUGGGGUCGAGGCGUGUCGUCGUCAAUUCAUUUUCCAGAUCUCCCGCAGUGUUGCUCCUUGACCUGUCCCGAUUGAAUUCUUUGGCAGUCGGUUGCUCUUCGUCUUCUCCAUAACCAAUCAGUUUCCUCUCCUCAUCUUCCCCACCAAGUGAAUGCAAGAGUAACCGAUGGAUCCUCCCUUCUCUAUUUAAGCUUUUUAAGCGACGGAUCUGUGCUCCAUCCAUUUCCAUCGUCUACUACCCGUCCGCCUCUUUCCCGCUGGUACCGCUCCCAUGGCCUCAGCACCAACGCGAUGGAGAGGCGAAUCUGGAGGAGCUGGUACCUACCUCCCUGAGCACAAGGGAAGCGCUUGAUGAGUCGUGUGGCAUCGACUCUCAGUCUCUCGCAUCUCCAUCACAAAACACCUCUGGGCAGCACGUCUUACUGAUUCCUCCAUCGCUGGAUAUAUGGCUAUAUUUUCAAUCCUGUGGAAUUGUCCUGCUACUUUACCGUGAAAUUAUCAUGGAGAAUUGUGGAUUGUAUACUUCAAUGCCUUCUGUAAUUAUUCCAUAGAUGACUGUGUGUUCUGUGUUAUUUUCCACCUCACGGUGCCUGUAUCGAAUGGUCUUCUGAAUUGUUGUCAAUUCGUGGUACUGAUUUCUCAUAUUACAACACGGAACCAUAUAUUGUUA